UGGCGAUCGCGGUUUGGCGGCCCGCACGACGAUUGCGGUCGGAGGUUUCCCGGCAUGGCAACGUGGCAACCGGAGACUUCCCGAAGCGACAGCCGAAGGUAGAGACUUCCCAAGAUGGCAAUCGGGGCUUAUGCAAAUCAGCCGCCAAGAAACACCACCUCGGACGAAAAACCCAAUCUAUAGGGCAUCAGAACACUAAAUAAAGAAACUGAGAGCGAUGCUCUAAGGUCGGGAUCAAGGGGCAUUACACACCAACUCCGCUUUCCUUGUCCUGAUCGGGGAGAGACUGGUUAGAGAUGACACCCCUGGACUCUCGAGCCAAAGGGGGGGCUCCGGGUAUACCCGUGAGGGCGGAGAUCCCGGCUUUGCCUACAUUGCACCCCGUAGGCAGAGCUGCAUUCCUCCUCCUCUGAGCCGCUUUAGGGAGUGAUGGCGGUGUGCGCGCGACCCGUCGGGCCCCCACCCCAAGCUGAUUCCUAAUAAAGGCUUUAAAACAGGAGAAGAAGGUCUCCUGGCCCUGUUUUUAUCACAAUAUGACCAAGACUCUUGCAGAAGAAUGUCACAUCCAAGCCAUUUUGGACAGAAACUACCUCAGCCACACUUUUGGAUCCUGAGUUGCUACACACCUUUCCAUUUUGUUCCCCUUCUCCCUGGGCAGGAAGCAAAGCUGGAUAUCUGCAGUCAAGAUCAAGCGGGCAAGGCAGCCCACUGAUAUUACGCUGAGGACCCCUCACCGACCUGCCAACAGACCUAGUUUGCUUCUCCUGUGAGCCCCAGGAAGUAUUACAGGAGUCUGUGAUGAAGUCUUGGCCUUUUCCACGUGCAGGUGCUGUCAGGGUAGCCUUUAGGAAUGACCAAGGGGUUGC
rnacentral:lncRNA from 1 species